CAUGCCAAAUUCCCACUGCUUAAAUGCCUGGCAAACUGGUAUUAACUUUCACUGUAAUACAACUCUGAACACAGCCCCACGAAAAUGUUUUGUUUGUUUUUUGUUGCUUUUUCAGCUGCUCUCCAGAAACAACUCCCUGGGAGCACUCAGCUUCAGUUCGCAGACACCAUUAAAAAGUGGCUUAAGUGUGCACCAGAGAGGGAAGGCGGUGUUCCGCGGAAAUAAAUAAUAACAGGUCCAGCAGCAGCCACGUGGACACCAUCUUUUUUGUUUUGUUGUUUAGUUCACAAUUAAUUAAUAAAUAUGUUUGUGCUCAGUUAUUUUUACAUGUAUUUUUAUGGUUUAUAAUUAAACAUCAUUGCAUUGUUA